GUAAGUGGCCAAUGCUUCUACACUUACAGAGAGAGCGAAGGUCGAAACGGACGGUCGUAUCACGGACUGAAAAUCCGUGUGUCGUCGGUUCGAUUCCGACCCUGGCCA
rnacentral:tRNA from 1 species